GGAACGAUGAAGACACAAACUUUGAUUGCUUUUUUCGUUUUUACAAUUUUUUGUGGUUUUCCCGAAGUGAAGGCAUUUCCUCAUGAACACGAAGGAACUUUGAAUAUUGAUGUUGCUUCGGAAUUCUUUUAUACAGAGCUGAAACGAUUUUUUAAAGUAAUUCAAGAUCCGAUUUUUAAGAGACUUGGGGAUUUGUUGUAUCAUCAUGAAGUUGACAAUGUCAGAGAUAUUUUGACAGUUUUUGCUGCUCCAAUGACAACUAAAAAUCCAGAUACCGAACAAAAAGUAACAACAACAGCAAAUCCAAUAACCAAACCUUCCAUAGUCGACAAUGGUGAAAACGAAAAAAAUGAUGGCGGAGAAGAAUCUGAAAAAUCAUCCGAAGAGCAAGAAGAAAAAAGUAGCGAAGAAAAUUAGUAAAUUUAAUUAUUUAGUCGAAAUAUAGAAAAAAUUUAAUUAAAAAUUAAAAAAGGGCAAGAAAAAACAUUUUUUUUAUAUUUUGCAAUUUUUGACUCAUUUGCUUUUCAUUU